AGAUCUCCGCGUAGUACAAAGCGAUUAUGGAUAAAUCUAAAAAAUGUUCUUAUCGGCUGAAUAUUUGAUACGUCCCCCAAUUGGGGACUUCGAUAUUUCACUGAUUUAACAAACAUGUCGGAGGGUUAGGGACUUGCUCCACCUCUGCCAAGGAUCGGCCUGGUGAUAUCGUACCUCCAGGACUGACCCACUCCCC